rnacentral:tRNA from 2 species
GGGUAAGUGGCACAGUGGUAGCGCGCACGCUUCGCAUCUGGCAUUGCGUGAGGUCUAGGGUUCAAUCCCCUACUUAUCCA